AAGAGGAACAACCCCAUUGGUGGGGCCAGCUCUGGAAACCUGGAUUCAGCUCCCGCAGUAAUUACAGAGCUCUCUGUCUGCAGGGCCUGGAUGCUCCGGGGCGGG
rnacentral:pre_miRNA from 1 species